CUUGAGUUCCAUUGCUCAAUGUUUUUUUUUUUUAUCUCCCUAGAAUCAAUUGUCUAUGUGAGAACGGGCCAAUGUUUGACCUUUCCUGGUUAAAUAGACAUUUGGAGCUGCCAUGGUUGCACGGAAAGAUGCGGGUUUGUCCUUUUCAAGAUCGGGCGAGCGGGGGAAGAACCAGAACGGAAUGCUAGCGAGGAAGAGGAGGCCGGCGGACACUAGCAUCCCCAUCCACCAAGCUCCCACCCAACGAGCAUCAACUCACCUAAAUCAACAAACCCAAUGUCAACGUAUAUAUUGGCACAGUAGGACCCAAGGAGGUAGCCGAAAACAGGACCAAGAAGAGCAAUCGUCUGGAUACAAGCUGCCAAACGAGAAAACCAGAUGUUCUGAUCCCGUCGUUCAAAUCAGGAUUAUAAAAAUAUCACCUACCGAUGUA